AUUCUGCAGCUUUUGCUCUAGCUCUGCAGAGUGUCAGCAAUUACUGCUAUUUCUUUUUGCAGCAAGGCAGAAGUUUGCAGUGUGGCCACCGCUGCCCCUCCAGCCAAGUGGUUGUAACGUGCACAUCGCUACCCGGCCACAUUGGAGACAGAGGAGAAAAAUAGGAAUUCAAGCCCUGUCUAAAAACUGCCUCUUGACCUGAUGCCUGACCUGCCCUUGGAUGCCCAGGAUAUGAAAGAUUUCUGCCCGAGUCUGCCCUGGUCUCCUUUCUUCCACUCUGAGGAACUGGAGGACUGGACAAGUGGCGUGAAUGUCUGGGUAUCCACAUUGUUACCAUCGCUGCGGGGGCUGUGUGAAGAACCACAUGGAUGGAGAGGUGUCUUCUGCUGUGCUGGGCUAUCUCAUCACUUUGAUCUCCCACUGUCACUUUUAGUGUUGGGUGAGACUUCUUCCCUGCCCUCAGCCUCCUCCAUAGACAGAUGUAGAAAAUUGGUCAUGGCUAGUUGAAAUAGCUGGUGGAGAUCUAGCUCUUGGUAUUUGGACAGUGAUAGCUAACAGAACUGGGAGCCUGGUGGCAUAUCCUGGUGCUUCAGCUGGUAUCAAAACUGAAAUGCUUCCUUGAUCUUGAUUCUUCCUCUAAGUUAAGCUGGGGAGGAAGCACAGCACGGGGUGCUCAGCAGCAGUG
rnacentral:lncRNA from 1 species